rnacentral:lncRNA from 1 species
UCCCUUAACCAACAACUACCACUUCGACCUUUUUUGCUCUUUUAUUCGACUAAUCUACUACAAUUUUUUCUUUUUUGCACUUUUCUCUUUUUUUUUCCUUUAUCUCCGAGACGCAGUUUUUUUUUGCUUGUCUCCUCCCUUAUUUUGAGAUUUUGAAUUUUUUAGUUGCAUGAGGAACUCGAAUAUCCUAGACUUGACCGAGUUACAUGCUACUUACGUGUACAUGAUCAAAUAAAGGUUUG